rnacentral:rRNA from 1 species
AUUGAACGCUGGCGGCAUGCCUUACACAUGCAAGUCGAACGGCAGCGGGGGAGAAGCUUGCUUUUCCUGCCGGCGAGUGGCGAACGGGUGAGUAAUACAUCGGAACGUGCCCUGUAGUGGGGGAUAACUAGUCGAAAGAUUAGCUAAUACCGCAUACGACCUGAGGGGUAAAGUGGGGGACCGCAAGGCCUCAUGCUGUAGGAGCGGCGCAUGUAUGCGUAGCUAUUUGGUGGGGUAAAGGCCUACCAAGGCGACGAUCAGUAGCUGGUGCUGAGAGGACGAUCAGGCACACUGGGACUGAGAAACGGCCCAGACUCCUAGGGGAGGCAGCAGUGGGGAAUUUUGGACAAUGGGCGAAAGCCUGAUCCAGCAAUGCCGCGUGUGUGAAGAAGGCCUUCGGGUCGUAAAGCACUUUUGUCCGGAAAGAAAUGGCUCUGGUUAAUACCUGGGGUCGAUGACGGUACCGGAAGAAUAAGGACCGGCUAACUACGUGCCAGCAGCCGCCGUAA